AUAUCUAACACAUGUGAUGAUGUAAGAGUGACUAUAGAGAGCACUCUUUACUGUGCUUUGGGCGCUCAACAUCCUAAUAAAAAAUGUAGUGAAGAGUCUACUCCAAAUUACAUUGCCAGUCUGGCAACGUAGAAGUAAAAGAUGAGCCCAAGGUAAAACAAAGCAUACAUCCAAGUUGUCCUACUUUCAGAAGGUCAAAUUGUCUAUCAAGGUCCACGAGAGAAUAUCCUUCAAUUCUUUGAAUACAUGGGUUUCAAAUGCCCAGAUAGAAAAGGAGUUGCUGACUUUCUGCAAGAAGUAACUUCCAAGAAGGGACUAGGAACAGUAUUGGUUUAGGAAGAACCAACUAUACAGAUUUGUUUCGGUUUCAAUUCUUUCCACAUUAGCCGACAGAUUGAGUUAGAUCUUAGGGUUCCUUUUGACACAUCCAGAGCCCACACUGCUGCAUUGGUGAUUGAAAAGUAUGGCGCAUUCUAAAUCGGGAAUUGUUCAAGGCAUGUUUUGCAAGGGAGUGGCUGCCAAUGAAGCGUAAUUCUUUUGUUUAUAUAUUCAAGACUACCCAGAUACCGAUUAUGUCAUUAAUAGCCAUGUCCGUGUUCUUUAGAUCAGAAAUGAAACCUGACACUUUCUUUGGUGGAAAUAAGUAUUUUGGAGCAUUGUUCUUCAGUAUAGUUAAUGUGAUGUUUAAUGGGAUGGCGGAACUUGCAAUGACUAUUAUGAAGCUUCCUGUCUCCUAUAAACAAAGGGAUCACUUAUUCUAUCCUGCAUGGGCUUUUGCCUUACCUAUAUGGGUUCUUAGGAUCCCUUUAUCGUUUAUGGAGUCAGCUAUAUGGAUCGUUCUGACAUACUUCACAAUUGGUUUUGCUCCCUCCUAGCAGGUUUUUCCGACAAUCCUUGGCAUUACUUGGUGUACACCAGAUGGCUCUGUCCCUCUUUCGAUUCAUUGCUGCUCUUGGAAGAACAGAAGUUGUAUCAAAGUUGCUGGGUACCUUCACCUUGCUAAUGGUUUUUCUGCUUGGAGGAUUUAUUAUUUCCAAAAAUGACCUUGAGCCAUGGAUAAUGUGGGGCUACUAUAUGUCUCCUAUGAUGU